CCUACGGGAGGCAGCAGUGAGGAAUAUUGGUCACUGGGCGCGAGCCUGAACCAGCCAAGCCGCGUGAGGGAAGACGGUCCUAUGGAUUGUAAACUUCUUUUGUCGGGGAGCAAAAGCAGCCUCGCGAGGCGUUCCGAGAGUACCCGAAGAAAAAGCAUCGGCUAACUCCGUGCCAGCAGCCGCGGUAAUACGGAGGAUGCGAGCGUUAUCCGGAUUUAGUGGGUUUAAAGGGUGCGCAGGCGGAAGAUUAAGUCAGCGGUAAAAUUGAGGGGCUCAACCUCUUCGAGCCGUUGAAACUGGUUGUCUUGAGUGGGUGAGAAGUAUGCGGAAUGCGUGGUGUAGCGGUGAAAUGCAUAGAUAUCACGCAGAACUCCGAUUGCGAAGGCAGCAUACCGGCGCUCAACUGACGCUGAUGCACGAAAGUGUGGGUAUCGAACAGGAUUAGAUACCCGUGUAGUC
rnacentral:rRNA from 1 species